GGCGUUGAGCGAGCCAGACGUGAGGAGCUGGGAGGAUGGGCGCGGGAGUUUUCCCUUCACCUUAUGCCUAGGCGAGAGAGCGUCUCUUGCUCCAAUUUCUAUUAUUGAAACUGUAAUUAACGUUUUGGGUAUCUGGCACCGAAGUGUCCUGAAGGAAUCCCAAGAUGCAUUGCAGUCUUGUGAUCCCGCAGAAACUGUUGGCCAUCACUUCAGAGAUCUUUUAGUCCUCAGCAUUGUGUAAGCUUGUGAAGUUCACAGUGUCAAAAGUAAGAGUUCCUCCCGUAAUGUGUAUAGGAAACUACAUUGAUUUGUUUUCCCUUUUUCUUAAGUGGGACUUCUCGCCUUAAUGACACGUUUAGAAUUUUAAAUGUUUCAAAAUCGGAUACCUUAUUCAGGCUGCUUGGUAUUGUAAGUCACUCUUUAUGUUCACGUGUCAGUAAUUAGUCUGUUUAGAUACUUGGUAGUAUAACUUAAUAGUUGUCACGUGCUGUUCUGACCGUAGAUUUUGUAAGUCACUCUUUAUGUUCACGUGUCAGUAAUUAGUCUGUUCAGAUACUUGAUAGUAUAACUUAAUAGUUGUCACGUGCUGUUCUGACCGUACCUAGUAGACUGUUUUGUGUGGUUUCAAGUCAGGUUUGGUCUUUAAAAAGCUUUCUGUAUUUAGGGGCUGCUUAAGUGAUAGGAUGACAUACAUGCUUUCAGGUACUGAUCUUGUGGGAAUGUCAGAUGAGUGAAGUUAACUAUUCUCACCUGUACAAAAAAGUGCUUAUUUUACGAACUGUCAAUAUUGGCUUAAAGAGAAAAAGGAAUGUACCUUGGUGAGCCAGGGUAUUGGUGAACCGGAUCACAGAUGUUCCUAGCAAUUUGUGAGAAUAGAUUGUUGAUUUCUCUUUGAAGUUCCAUGUUGUAUUUCCUAGAUAAAUGGACAUCAUAAAAGUCUCUGGGAGUUUAGCUUCUUCAGAAACUUGCUACAGUUUCUGUAUUAGAGGCAGAGAGCUUGGAGAAGUACUUCUGUGAAGUAAGUACAUAUAUGAGCACACUUUGAAUUUGGUUGUUUGAUUUUCUUGAUGUUUUGCCUUUGAGCAAGGAAACUUAGUUUUUAUUUCUUUGCUUAGAUCAAGCAGUUUGGCCUACUUAAAUAAAAUUCACUUACCAGCCCCUAAAAGUGCCCGGUUCCCCAUACCUUAUCAUACAGAUUCCUUUUAUCCAGCCAUUUUCUUGUUUCUCUUUUGGCUGUCCCUCCUCACUCUGGAGCCACCAGCAGCACUCUGGCUAGACUUGGAACUCCAUUUCCAGCUUGUCCACCCAUCAGCCAUCCUCAGAGCAGUGAUCUGGAGUAGGCAUUGUUGGGUGCCAAGGCUUUACCUCUUAGAUCCAAGUAAACUGACUACGUGAUGAUCUUUGAAGUAGAGGUCCUGAAAUGAAUGAAAAUGUGGAAGACGGGUUGUGUGUAAGAGAACAUUUUCUGUGCUAGAAUAACGCAGGAUACUCAGCUGGGCACUUGAAGUGACACCACAAGGUGAAUUAAUCAUGGUCCUGGAGUCUAGAAAGAGCACCUGUGGCACCUUCUCAAGAGGAACAAUCGUUAUGUGAAGGUUCAAAUUCAGCUGUUAGCAUGGAACUUUCAGAAACUGUUGUAGAAAAUGGGGAGACAAAAAUGUCCCCAGAAGAAUCAUGGGAGCACAAAGAGGAAACCAAUAAUGCAGAGCCAGUGGGUGGCUCCUUGGGAGGUGGAAGGCCCCAGAGGAAAGUGCCCAGGAGAUGAUGGAGGAGGAAGAGGAGGUACCAAAACCCAAAUCUGUGGUUGCACUGCCAGGUGCUCCUAAGAAUGAACAUGUAUAUGUAGUAUUCAUUGGUCAUGUAGAUGCUGGCAAGUCAACCAUUGGAGGACAAAUAAUCCACACCUGGCUCUUCUCUGCUGCUGAAAACAUUAGACUCGUGUCUGCCUUUGGGCCUUUGCUCCUGUGCCUACAACACCAUCACCCUCAGCCGUUGACCCUGCUCCAACUCUGGAACUACGGCCAUAGCCUCAGUUUGCUAUUGUCUCAGAAAGGCUGCUGCUGACUACCUAAAUAGCUCCUCCAGUCACAUGAGUUACAUGGCUACCUGCCGCUGUUUAGAGAUAACAUCUGUGAUAACAUCAGUCUCUUCACCACAGCCUACAGCUCCGAGAGCAGCGACCAUGUCAGCACUUAAAACAGCACCUUGCAGUGCAGACUGAGCCCAUUCCAAAUCUCACCUGCAAGUACAGACGUGUUCUGAUGCGUACUGGCCACGUGGAAGGGGAAAGGGUGUGCUCUGGCCAGCUGCACCCAGGGAGUUCUGACACAAGCCUCCCGAGGAAGGGGCAAUGCCUCCAGUACUCCCACUCUGUACUGCCCCAAAGCUGAACGUCCUAGUGAUGGAGCUGCUGGAGGUGGGGGGGCCACGUUCAUCCCAAAGCCACCACUGUCAGCAGGGCCUGCUGACACCCUAGACGUGAAGGGCAAUGGGGUGGUGCUGCCAAACACUGAGCUACUGGUUACACUGCUUGUGGUCUGGGUCGUAGCUCCAAAGCCCGAGGUGGUAGCUGCAAAAAAGAAGGAAACAUGGAUCAUUGUCUAACCCCAUACACAAAAGUAAAUUCAAAAUGGAUCAAAGACCUGAAUGUAAGCCAUGAAACCAUAAAACUCUGAGGAAAAAAACAUGCAAAAAUCUC